ACCUGAUAUUCAAAAACCAAAACUUGUUUUGAGAGAUACUAGAUAGCAUUUGUGAACAGAAAGACUGGAGGACAGAAAAGAUUUUUGUGGAAUUUAACCAUGGAGAACUUCUAGAAUUUUACAACAAGUUGGAAACUAUACAAGCACAACUGGACUCUCUUACGUGACUCAUAAUUUGAACAAGAAAUGGUCUUCCAAAAAUAUAUCUGUCAGCUGUAGGUUGAAUAACUAAAGAAUUUUCAUAAUAAUCGUUGUUGGAGAAAUCGAAUGAAUUGAUUCCAUUAAGUAUCACAGCAUAGCUGUAAAAGUACCAUUUUUGGAUAUCUUUGCCAGCCAAUGAAUCUUGAAUUUGACAAAUUGUUACAUAACAUUCAAUAGCACAUGAGCUGAGUAUCAGCUACCUAAAUACUGCCUUGUAUUGAUUUAGGAUUAUCAAUGUCAAUUAAGAACAUCCUAAUAAUUUCACCAUGAUGUGAUGUUUGGAUUUAUGAAUGGAAGAUUGGGCAAGAAUGUAUGUUGUUUGAAAAUAAAAUUGUGACACAGCUUUAGAACGGUUUCAGCAGCAAUAAUGGUUUCCAUUUUCAUUGUCUUGUGAAGACCGGAAGAUGGAUGAACUUAACGUUCAAUUUACUGUUUUAAGUAUUGCAGCUUAUUAAGCUUUUGUGAUAACAUUGUAUACAUAUCUAUUAUUAAUGAAUUCCAUGCCAUUAAUACAGCAAACCUUUCUACAAUGUUACACUUAAUAAAGCUAAUUUUUUUGUUCUUGUAAUUUGUGAUAUUUUCAAUGUUAAGUAAUGGCUAGAAUAUAAAUGUAUUGAAUCGCCCUGGUUUGUAUUGUCUGCUGAAUUAAGAUACCUGAGUAACCACGUUCGAUUGUCAAUGGUAAUGAACUUUCAGGCUUAAUACAGUGGGAUUGAAAUGCAAGUUUUGAAUAGUUCCUUGCAUAAGCUGAAAUAAAUACAGAAUUGAUGA